AGCAGUAGCCACGGGAAUACGGAGGGUGCAAGCGUUAUCCGGAUUUAUUGGGUUUAAAGGGUCCGUAGGCGGAUCUGUAAGUCAGUGGUGAAAUCUCACAGCUUAACUGUGAAACUGCCAUUGAUACUGCAGGUCUUGAGUAAAUUUGAAGUGGCUGGAAUAAGUAGUGUAGCGGUGAAAUGCAUAGAUAUUACUUAGAACACCAAUUGCGAAGGCAGGUCACUAAGAUUUAACUGACGCUGAUGGACGAAAGCGUGGGGAGCGAACAGGAUUAGAUACCCCCGUAGUCCCUGUCUCUUAUAC
rnacentral:rRNA from 1 species